UACAGAGACCUCAAGCAUUAUCCGGAUUUAUUGGGCGUAAAGGGUCCGCAGGUGGCUUUUCACGUCGUUGGUUAAAUGUUGGGGCUCAACUCUAACACCGCCAACGAUACGGAUCAGCUAGAGCAUGGGAGAGGUACGCGGAAUUACAGGUGUAGUAGUAAAAUGCGUUAAUAUCUGUAAGAACACCAAAUGCGAAGGCAGCGUACUGGAACAUUGCUGACACUCAGGGACGAAAGCGUGGGGAGCGAAAGGG
rnacentral:rRNA from 1 species